GUUGCCAUUUAUACAUCAUGUACAUGUACAAUCAUUAGCUGAUCAGCUCUAUAUUUUCAUUAUUUUUAUUCUCCUUCACUGUUUUUUUUUAUAAGACUCAAUAUAUAUAUGAUCUGUAUUCCUCAUUGGGACAGUUAGGUGAAGUAGGUCCUUUUGAUUGGAUUUUUUAAAGGAUUUUGACAGCACUAAAGCAUAUACAUGUAGUUCCAAUUUUUAGUUGAUCUAAGCUCCUCAAGUGGACUGUGGCAACACAUAUUGCAUAUACAUGUACAUUGUAGAAUGUUGUUCUUAAGUUUCAGCACAUAGUUUCCGGUUUGCAAGACUACAUGAUACUGGCUUCUCAUAAAAUUCUGUCAGUACUUUGCCAAUAGUUUCCAAGUAAAGUUGAACAUUCCAAGAUCACUCCUUCCAUUUGCAUGUACAUGUACAAAUGAACUUGCAACCUGAAAUUAAAUAUCAGAGUAAUUCUGUCAGAAAAUCAACAAUUAUUGACAUUCAAAAGUAUAUAGA
rnacentral:lncRNA from 1 species